CUUGACCGAGCCCAGCAGCAGGGCCUGUUCGCGGUCCUGGCCGUAGGUGGCGAGCACGGCCUGCGCUUC
rnacentral:antisense_RNA from 1 species